rnacentral:rRNA from 1 species
CCUACGGGUGGCUGCAGUGAGGAAUAUUGGUCAAUGGCCGAGAGCCUGAACCAGCCAAGUCGCGUGAGGGAAGACGGCCCUACGGGUUGUAAACCUCUUUUGUCGGGGAGCAAAGCGAGUCACGUGUGCCUCAUUGAGAGUACCCGACGAACAAGCAUCGGCUAACUCCGUGCCAGCAGCCGCGGUAAUACGGAGGAUCCGAGCGUUAUCCGGAUUUAUUGGGUUUAAAGGGAGCGUAGGUGGAUUGUUAAGUCAGUUGUGAAAGUUUGCGGCUCAACCGUAAAAUUGCAGUUGAAACUGGCAGUCUUGAGUACAGUAGAGGUGGGCGGAAUUCGUGGUGUAGCGGUGAAAUGCUUAGAUAUCACGAAGAACUCCGAUUGCGAAGGCAGUUCACUGGACUGCAACUGACACUGAGGCUCGAAAGUGUGGGUAUCAAACAGGAUUAGAUACCCUUGUAGUC